GUUGCUGUAAGAUUGAUUUGCCAGAAAUGUGUGGAUGAAGAAGUGCUGUAAUCUCACUGCAUUUUGACAAAACAGAAGUCCUCUCCUUUUAUUUUUUUGAAAUCCUUACUGCCUCUCCCUUUCCUCUCUAUGGCAGGAUACGCAAUUUCAUCCUAGGAGUAAACAGUCAAGCUUGUACCAGAAGCUGAUGGAGGACACAGAAGUUGGCUUUCAAAUGACAAGGCUUUUCAGAUUCAUGCAUCCCCUGAGCUUCCUUGAAUCUGCUGAGACCACAGAGAAGUGCAUUUUAAUUCAGUGAAUUCAACGAUGUCCUCACUGUGUCAUGAAGACACAAUCCUGAUGUGAGUCAGCACUCAGGACACAGCAGAACAUCCUUAACAGGUACCUUCAAACUAAAGAGACAGAAGAGAUAUCUGAAACAGUCCAAAAGUGUUGUCUGUUCAUCUGACUCAAACCAGGAUCCAGGCUGUGCAAUCCCAACUUCACCAUCCAUGGAGGUGAAGGAAUCAAAACAAGAGCUGAAUCCUCAUGUGAAAAUAUUGCAGUUCACUCGCUUUACUUCAGAGACAGUUUUCUUGGUAUAUUUUUCCAGUUCUCAUCUGGCUGUUUCUUGGCGCCCUUGAGAGCACUAGCUAAAGGGCUGAUCUCCAGGAAGUUUUAUCUCUGCAGACACCUCCUUGUAGAGCUAUUUGUACUCAUCAGAGCAAACUCUUAAGAAUAGUAAGGCUAACAACCGAGUGUAUCAGAGGAGCUGUCUGAAGCACAUGCUACCCAGAUCGCUGGAACUGACUUUUCAGAUAUGCUCAUUACACUGAGCACGAACCCCAGGACGCUGACAUGGUGUGAGGAAGGUCCACCCAGCUUGUGGCAGAGAGCAUUUAGGUCUCUUGUGACUCAGAGAUGGUGGAAACACAGAUCUUGUCCCUGAUUCUCUUCACUCCCCUUACCUACAG
ensembl:lncRNA